rnacentral:lncRNA from 10 species
GACCGGGAAUCGAACCCGGGCCGCGGCGGUGAGAGCGCCGAAUCCUAACCACUAGACCACCAGGGAAGACAUGAUGCGUCAUUUAGCAAUAUGCUAUACUAAAUAAAUAUCCUGUGACGUAUCUCCUAUAGAAACAUGAUUGGAUGCGGUUUUCUCGCAACAUUUGGGAAUAUGCAGACUGCUUCCCUCCCCUUGGUAGGUAGCCCCCUUGCUGCGGCAGACAGGGAAAACCGGGCAGCAAAGAUGAGUAGUCUAGUUGUAACCUUCUUCCUGGAGAAGACAAUAAAAUACCAACGGACUCCGGGAAAAUUCUGGGGUUUCUUCCGGGGAAUAAAAUGCUAAUAAAACGAAUGUGUCAGAAGUGGGAUUCGAACCCACGCCUCCAUCCGGAGACCAGAAAGCCCGCAGGCAAGGUGCUUACCUUGAGUCUGGCGCCUUAGACCACUCGGCCAUCCUGACACUCGGAAGCAGAGCGCUUCUCACUUAGCCUCAUACUUGUGUCCGCUGGUGCCAGCCUGCCGCGUCACACCCGAGUUGCGGCCGUGGGAACCCUACUGACUGGUCGCGACGUUUCAGCGCUUCCCGUUCCCGGCGGAGCUCUGGAGAAAGCCGCGACUGCAAUGCAGCCAGGAGUGGCCGAUAGCGCUCUCCCAGGCCGGGAAUCGAAGCUAACGACCAGGGGUUAGUGACCGUGUGCCAGCGCCUGGCCCCGCAAACGCAGGACAAUGCCUGAGAAAGGCAAAGCUCGAGCUACCGCCUCACCUUCCGGCCCAAGCUGGGGAAACUCUGGCAAGCAGUUACUACUCGGAAAGUAGUUGGAAAAACGCUUGCCACUAAGUGACGAAUGGAUGCUUUUGUUUUUCUUCAUUAUCAUCAUUAUUAUAGCGGCUUUCUGCUUUAUUGUGCCUGCGCGUACCCUCCCCUCAAGGUCCACCGCGCUUCCUCCACGAAACCACACAGAUACGGUUGGCGAUAACGGCCGGAUCGGGAGGUCCUAGGUCAGAGGGGCCUGAUGCGGGCCUCGCCUGAGGUGAGGGAAGUCAGGCUGCGUUUACACAGCAGUUAACGAGUGCCUUAGCGUCCAAUGGGAAGGCCCGGGACUCGCAGUGCAGAGCAGCUCUGGCAGUGUCCUCCCGGUGGGCUGUGAGGUUACCUGUGAGCCCAGAUACCACUCGUCCAGGCAUUCAUUCGUUGAAUCUUAACAUCGAGUGUCCACUGGGAACACAACGGUAAAUAGACAAAGCCCCAACUUGGUGAGCUGAUUUGCUAGUGAAGGAGAUGACCAGCACAAUCACAUGUACAGAGUGUGAGGAAAAACCAAAAGCAAUGAAGUGGUGGAGAAGUUCUAUUUUUAGACUGUGCAGUUAAGUAAGGCCUCACUAAAGUGACUUUUGCUAAAAUAUUUUUCAAAAACUAAAAUAUAUGUCAUGCAGCCGGGCGCGGUGGCUCAUGCCUGUAAUCCCGCCACCACGUUGGGAGGUGGGCGGAUCACCUGAGGUCGGGAGUUCGAGACCAGCCUGACCAACA